UGAUUAUAAAUACAAUUUGAUUUACCGGAGUACUACGAAUAUAUGAUUUAAAACUCAAAGGGCUUGCGGUGCUUUAGAUUUCUCAGGGGAACUUGUUUCAUAAUCGAUAGUCCACGAUAUACCUGACCUUUUUUAGUUUAGCAGUAUGUAUACCGUCGUCGUCAGGUAACUUUUAAAAACAAAGAAGUUGGCAAGAAAAACUUAAUAAUUUUGGACGUCAGAUCAAGGUGCAGCCAAUAAAAAGGGGAGAAUGAGUUACAAUUAAAAUUUAUAUUAAUGGAAAAAAGCUUGAUAUAGUUUUCUCG
rnacentral:rRNA from 1 species